GAGUUUGAUUAUGGCUCAGAUUGAACGCUGGCGGCAUGCUUUACACAUGCAAGUCGAACGGCAGCGCGGGCUUCGGCCUGGCGGCGAGUGGCGAACGGGUGAGUAAUACAUCGGAACGUACCUGGUAGUGGGGGAUAGCUCGGCGAAAGCCGGAUUAAUACCGCAUACGACCUCAGGGUGAAAGCGGGGGACCUUCGGGCCUCGCGCUAUCAGAGCGGCCGAUGGCAGAUUAGCUAGUUGGUGAGGUAAAGGCUUACCAAGGCGACGAUCUGUAGCUGGUCUGAGAGGACGACCAGCCACACUGGGACUGAGACACGGCCCAGACUCCUACGGGAGGUAGCAGUGGGGAAUUUUGGACAAUGGGCGCAAGCCUGAUCCAGCAAUGCCGCGUGUGUGAUGAAGGCCUUCGGGUUGUAAAGCACUUUUGUCAGGAACGAAAAGGUGCCGUGCUAAUAUCCAUGGGCCGAUGACGNAC
rnacentral:rRNA from 1 species